rnacentral:rRNA from 1 species
AUGAACGCUGGCGGUAUGCUUAACACAUGCAAGUCGAACGGUACCUUCGGGUAUAGUGGCGGACGGGUGAGUAACGCGUGAGAAUCUAUCUUCAGGUCGGGGACAACAGUUAGAAAUGACUGCUAAUACCGGAUGUGCCGAAAGGUAAAAGAUUUAUUGCCUGAAAAAGAGCUCGCGUCAGAUUAGCUAGUAGGUGGUGUAAGAGACUACCUAGGCUUCGAUCUGUAGCUGGUCUGAGAGGACGAUCAGCCACACUGGAACUGAGACACGGUCCAGACUCCUACGGGAGGCAGCAGUGGGGAAUUUUCCGCAAUGGGCGAAAGCCUGACGGAGCAAUACCGCGUGAGGGACGAAGGCUCUUGGGUCGUAAACCUCUUUUCUCAAGGAAGAUUCAGACGGUACUUGGGGAAUAAGCAUCGGCUAACUCUGUG